rnacentral:tRNA from 1 species
GCCCCGUUAGCUCAAUUGGAUAGAGUAUCUCGCUUCUAACGAGAUUGUUAUAGGUUCGAAUCCUAUACGGGGUGCCA